rnacentral:misc_RNA from 1 species
UUGAAAUAAACCUGAUAAGUUGUUGCUGGUUCUCCAGGGAAUAUUGUGCACACUUGUCAUCUUUAUAUCUCCACCUGUGCACCUUUUGUAGACCUGGAUAUCUCUCCAAGCGCUUGCAUUUGGGUUUGAGGAUUGAUUUCAUUAUCUUUUCCUUACAUUUCCAGGCCUAUGUUUCUUCAUAUACUCCAAUGUAUGUUAUAGAAUGUAAUAAAUGGGUCUUUGUGGCCUUAUAAACCAAUA